UGUGGCUUUACAUCUGGGUGGUUCAGCAAAGAGAGCAGCUGUGGAGAAGCUCCUCAGGCAGGAGUUCAGCUGGAGCAACCAGACCCCUGGGGGGAGGAAGGAAAGUCAAUAACACAGAGAGAAAGAGGCAGAGGGGCAAACUAGAGUGCUGCUGAGGGGCUGGACCUUGCCUGGAAGUGAGGCCAGGUCAAACUUGGAUCUAGAGCCUGAGGAGUGGGGUUGGGAGGGUGAGUGUCUGCAUGUCUCCCUCUCCCACCCCAUCUUACAGUGCUGCACGCUCCAAUUUUGAGAUCAAAGCCCCAGCAGGAGCUCGUGAACAUCAGGGAGACCUGGUUUGGCCUAUGGAGGUUGGCAGAGGAGAACCUGCAAAGGCCCAGAGGUGCACAGGGUAGAAAGUCCUAGGGAAACCACAGUAGUGCUCAAAAUGAAGGUGAAGCACACUUACCACAAAGGGAAGCAUGUGAGAGGACACAGUCCGUUGGCAAAUGAACGGGUGUUCGCUCCCCAUCUGCCGCUUGUGCCAGACCUGGCAAGCGCUCCUCUUCAUCUUUGUGCUGCACUGACCUCACAGGUGAAACUGCUCAACUGAUGGCCUUAGUAAAGCGCCUUUUUGGUUUUUCGAGAAAGGGGUUCAGGCCCAGAGAUGACUUUAAACUCCCGAUCCCCCUGCUUCUACCUCCCCAGGACUUCUUAACCUUUUUAUACUUGUGAUCCUUUCUGCCUCUCAGAAUCUUCUAUGUCCCCUGGUAUAAGUCUAUGAAACAGAUAUGCAGAGCAACCACUUACUCAUAACCAAUCACAAACAAA